GGAGGGUUGGCCGAGUCGGUAAGGCAGCGGCUUGCUAAGCCGUCGUCAGGGUCUCCCCUGCGCGAGUUCGAGUCUCGCACCCUCCG
rnacentral:tRNA from 1 species